rnacentral:lncRNA from 1 species
GUAACAUGCUCAGAAUCAUAAAUGGUUGAGCCCUGAUCAGAACCCAGGAACUGGUGACAGUGAAGGAUGAGGAAAUGGAUUUUGCCCAUGUGGAGGUGGACCAGCUGAAUUCUGCCCAGAGGAACAUGGGCCUGGAUCUGAAGGUGGAGAGUUGUGGAAGCCUGGUAUUUUGGGUUGCAGGUCCUUCUAGUUGUGGGAUGUGGGACGCCGCCUCAAAGUGGCCUGACGAGCGGUGCCAUGUCCGCGCCCAGAAUCCGAACCCCGGGCCGCAGCAGUGGAGCAUGCGAACUUAACCACUCGGCCACGGAGCCGGCCCCGCUUUUCUCUUUUAACAUUAGCUUUUCAUUUUACAGAAAAGAUUUGGAAAGUGGGAUUGAUGGGCCAAUAUGAACAUGUAU